ACCGCUUAAAUAUUUUGAUGAUUAUAACACAUGGUUAACAAUGGCUUUGAUAAAACCAUCAAACACAAAGAAGACUUAAAAUUACUCUUAUAAAUGUUGAAUGCUUUACCCUUGAUCAAAUGUCAAUGUAAUUGAAAUAAUUCUCAAUUUUGCCAUUGUUGAAACCUCUUAAACAUUUUGACCUGAUAACAAAAGGUUAACAACGGCUUUGAUGGGAGGUUUUGCUAGAAGAGGCAAUAAUAAGAUUGCUGUUUUAAAUGACCACAGAAAACUCCACAAAUUCAAAAUUAGGAAAAGAA
rnacentral:misc_RNA from 1 species